rnacentral:rRNA from 1 species
GUGUGCCUACGGGGCGCAGCAGUGGGGAAUAUUGCAUAAUGGGGGAAACCCUGAUGCAGCGACGCCGCGUGAGUGAAGAAGUAUCUCGGUAUGUAAAGCUCUAUCAGCAGGAAAGAUAAUGACGGUACCUGACUAAGAAGCCCCGGCUAACUACGUGCCAGCAGCCGCGGUAAUACGUAGGGGGCAAGCGUUAUCCGGAUUUACUGGGUGUAAAGGGAGCGUAGACGGCAGCGCAAGUCUGGAGUGAAAUCCCAUGGCUUAACCAUGGAACUGCUUUGGAAACUGUGCAGCUAGAGUGCAGGAGA